GCAGAAUGGUGUGGAAUUUAAAAGAUGAAGAACUGUAAAAGUUUAAUUUAAUUAUGUAUGAUCUCUCAAAGACAGAUCCACUGCAAUCACGAAGAAGAAUCACCCUUUUCUACACAGGGCCAUUUUUCCACGAUGCUACAUUGGCCAUCACAGAGCACAGUAAAUUCAUGAUGAGAUAAUGCUGGAAAACAAAUGACAGUAAAAUCUUUGAAAUGUCCAUCUGUGUCUGUGGGGGAACGAGCAGCAAACUUAUGGAAAAGGAAGCGAGCUAAGGAGAUAAGACUUCGACUUGAGAGGCUUUGUGAUGAUACAAAGAUUCCUGGAAGGAGUAACGGAUGACAUCACUAGAAACCAAGAAGAUGGUAAGGCCUGGAGGUGGCAGAGCUGAAGAGUUCAGAGAAGGAAGCCUGAUGAAGAAAUACAAUUCUAAUGCACAUAUGAAGGGGAUGGACAGUGUUGGAACAAGAUGGUCUUGGAUUCAGAAAUAAAAGGAGUCAGAAGCUGAAGACCUAAGGGUAACACAAGACGUCCAGGUCCUGAAAGCAGUGCAACUUGGAAUUUUUGGAAAGUGA